rnacentral:rRNA from 1 species
CGGUGAAUACGUUCCCGGACCUUGUACACACCGCCCGUCAAGCCAUGGAAGCUGGGUGUACCUAAAGUCGAUAACCGUAAGGAGUCGCCUAGGGUAAAACUAGUAACUGGGCUAA